GGGACUAUAGCUCAGCCGGUUAGAGCGCACGCCUGAUAAGCGUGAGGUCGGUGGUUCGAGUCCACCUAGUCCCA
rfam:Desulfotomaculum reducens MI-1, complete genome.